UGACAUUGUAAAUGUAACAUAUAUAUUAACAGAAAAAUUUCUAACACACUUGCAGCCUGGGAACUGUUAGAGUCUGGGGAAUUCCUGGGGAGGAGUAGAUAUCCCAUAUUUCCUUAGAGACCUCCAAUAGAAAGGUUUAUUACAUGUGGGAACAAAAAUAUUAACUGGAAAUAAGAGAUCUCCGGACUUCGGAAAAUCUUGAGAAAAAGAGAACAUUGUAUAUUAGACAAAGACAAUAGGACUGUGGAAAGUAGCAUAGAGCCUUUGUUUCCACAGAUGUGUGAAUGAUUGGGUGAAGUUGUCCUCUGGUGGUUAAGAUAUUCAAAUACCCAAUCAUUUACUGCUAAGGGCAGAAAACUCGGCUGGUAUUCAGGAAACCGGGAUUUCAUUUCCAAAGCUGUGUCGGCCUGAUGGAUGACCCUGGGCAGUCAUUCUGCCUUUGUGCCUUAUUUUCUCUUCUGGAAAACAGGAAAAGAAAUGCUGUACCAAUACCAUACCAAUGCUGUUGGUAUAAUGGAAACAUGAUCUGGAAAGACUUAAAAUGUGGGACAUGCCACUCACCAUUUCUAUGAACAAGUUAGUGGUCUCAAGAGAGAAUAAAUGUGAAAAAAGUAGCUACUUCCA
rnacentral:lncRNA from 1 species